GUGCUUUAUAAUUCCCAAUUGUUGGUUGGCUUUUGUCACUGUUGCCCCCACUUAGACCACUGCCUUCAGUGAUUGAUCUAUCACAAUACCAAGAUCUUUCACUUUAUUGAAAGUAUCCAGGAAAGUGUUAUUAACAGAAUAGUGGGGAUUUGGGUUGUAUCCUACACACAGUCUUACAUUUUGCAUUGUUAAAAAUAUUUUACCAGUCUCAAGACCAUUUGAACACCUUGUGAAGGUCUUUUUGCAUGGCUGCAAAUGGUCAUGAUUGUUACCUUCUUAAAUACAGGUAUUUCCAUGUCAUCUGCAAACUUGACAAUAUGGCUCUAUAUAUUUUCAUCUAUAUCAUUUAUGUACAGUAAAACCUCUCUAAGGCAGACUAAUUGAGGAAGGGAUUAUAGGUUGUCCACCUUAGAGUCAAUUUUUCCCAAAAGACGCCAUUUUAAACAAAAAACAGUACGUACGACACCAACGUCUCCAAUUUUUAUGAAGGAAAUACUAUACAAGUUUUCUAAUCAAAAUUAAUUUUAAAAAGUAAUGUACACAAAGUACUGUACACUUACUUUUAGUUCACUGAUACGGCCAUCGGCUUAACCUCACCACCCUUAUGGGUACUAAACACUUUCUUAGAGGCGGUGUUUAUUGUUUAAUUUUUCAGUAAUAAUGAAAAAAAUAUGAAUGGUGCUUCAGCCUACGGUGAAUAUACUAAAUGUUCAAAAACUUUAAUGAUAUAAAAAAAUACAGUAGUACUGUAUUUUAGGAAAUAACUUUUGCAUAUUCCACCUGUAGCCAUAGUUUUCUUAUAUAUACAGUACCAGGAAAUGUGAGGAAUAUUACUAACAAAACUUACUGUAUUGUAUUGCCAGAAAAGUAAAUAAAAGCCAAAUGAAAGUUUAAAACACAGUCUCCUUUGCAUACACUCCCUGUUUCACCAUAGUAACGAAGAUCAGCUGGGACGGUGAUUCCCUAGCAACGCGCUCCCCAACACACACACACACACACACACACUGACUGUUUUCCCCUAACUCGUGUAGAAAGAACUGUCAAUUCCAUAUAUGUGUUUGCCCUUAGGACAAUUAUUUCUUUUACAUUUUCACAUUAUGUAUGUAGGAUGGUGUGUGCGUGUAGUAGAGUAAAAAUAAGAUGAGGAAAGUUACUUAUAUCUAUCCGAAAAUACGAGUUGAAAAACAACCAUGUAACACCUCACAGCUUGGCCCAGUAGCCUGGUGGUUACAGUAAUGAGUCUAACCUGGCUACAAUGCCAUAAUUAAUUACUGUUAAGCACUAUUAUGUCAGUAAACACUAAUAAUAAUAAUAAAUCCAGUGAAAUAUAGCAGGGAGUGAGGAGAGUUACAGACGACACUAACUAGUCACUCACUCGCUUCCUGGCUCCUGUUGCCAGGCUUAUGAUUGAAAUACAGUACGUAUAGGAGAAAUACAUACAGUAUCUUGUAGUAUAAUUUGAAAACAGUGAUAAACAAAUUAUAUAAACCAUAUAUUUACCUAUGAUAACAUAAUAAGAAACAUUGUAUCAUUACUAGAGUGAGUGAAAUAUUAUUCCCCAAAACAACAGUUGAUAACUCUUAGGCACCUGUGUCCCACAUGCUGAUGUCUUGUUUAUUUUAAUUUUUUAAUUCUUUUGGAGCAAACAAUUUUGUCCAGCUCAAGCAAUAUCCGCCUCAGUUGGGUCCACCUUAACGAGGUUUUACUGUAUAUCUUAAACAGGAUGGAUUCAAUGGUAGAUCCUUGUGCUACACCACUGAGAACCUUCUUCCAUUCUGAUUGUACACCAUUUAUGACCACCCUUUGUGUCCUGUGUUUGAAUCAGUUGUUAAUCCACUUCAAAAUUUUGUUUGUGAUGCCAUGUGGUUGGAUUUUAGAGACUACCUGUGAAUGUGGGACUUUGUCAAGCGCCCUAGAGAAAUCCACUUACACUAGCGGUCAAAAGUUUGCUCGAUCCCAAAUGAGAUAAAUUAGCACACCCACAUCAGACGAUACUCAGGGUAAGUCAGUUCAGAGACUGUUUCACCAUGGGAGCAAAAUUAUGACCAAAACUGUACAACACAUCCACUGGUAAGCCUUGAUCCAUGUAGUCUGUUACCAUUUCAAGGAAAAUGAAAAAAUUUGUUAAGCAGGAUAUUCUCUCCAUGAAACUGUGUGAUGCAUUGAUCAGUCAGGUGUUGGAAGAAGGCAUCCCUUAGAGUUUACAGACACAGUGCAUAUAUUGAGUUGACAUAAAGCAAGUGUGUGUAGUGGUUGUGGGUCAGAGUUAGUUUUUCCCCAACAUGGACCUUGUGACUCCACCUCAGUUGUCAAGAGUACAGUACAGUAUAUACAGAAGGUUUUUUCUCUGGUGGGUCCUGUCUUGUGUUGUGUGAGGAAUGAGUCUUGAAGGAGGUCAAAGAAUUCUCCUCCAGUUUGUGUGGUAAGAGUCACCAAUCCACUGUCUCAUAAUGAGAGCUUGUGUUCUGGUUGACUAUGGAGUCUGCCACUUCCCCCUGUGAGACCGAGUCAGCCUUAUAACACAAACCUACUGUCACCUUGCUUUUGUUUUAUGCUUUUAGUUCACAUCAAAUAGAUUCAGAUUGUAUAAUUUUAUUUAGCUCAUCAUUACUGGUUACUGUCAGGUGCUCCUUAACAUACAGUACAGUAGUACACCACAGGCCUGUCCUUUCUGAAUGGUGGUUGAUACCUGGUAGAAAAAAUUCACCGUGGAACACAUCUUCUUAACCCCAGGACUCUGAUGUCUGGCUGUUGUGUGUCCACCUGUGCAGCACCCAAUAGUCCAGUCUUAUUAACUAGACUUGUGUCAUUCCUGUACCAACACCAGUUUCUCUCUGGGUUACUAGUACAAUAAUACUUAAAGCUACAUUAGUGAUGAACAACUCUUAUACAAAGUACACCACAUUUCUUACUCUGUCUUCUCCUGUAAUGAAGCUGUAUUUGUUUAUUUGCUAUUGUUCUCUCAUGACAUGUUGUGUUAGCCCCAGCUGCCACACUAUCACUGUGGGUGUUGACGUAACUAUUUCCUAUAAGUUAUUUAAUACUUUACACUGAUUGUUGAUGUCAUGUUAUUUGUUGCUUUAAUUUAUCUUGUUCUUUAUCAGACUUAUCUACUGUUUCAUGAUCCUCUACACUACAGUCAUAAUUAAAUCUUUAACUUGGUGUGUGUGUUUGCAUGUUUGUUUGUUUUUAGUGUACAUACAGUAAAAGCAUAAAAUCAUUAACACCUGAGCUGAACUGAGCUGAUAUUCCAGCCCAGGUGUGCCACAAGAAAUAUGAAGAUUAGUUAUCACUGAAACUCAACUCUAAAUUAACCCAAUAUGUAUUGUAGCUACAUUAGUGUUUCUCAGUCUCAUAUAUAUUAAUUAUCUUUUAAGUUUAUUAAUAACUUUUAGCUUCAUUUUCAAAGCAGUAUUACAUUGUUUAUCAGUUAUGAUAAUUUACAAAUACUACUGUUUAUUUUACCUUUCUACUUUUAUGUUUCACUUCAGUUAAUUAAACUACAGCCUGUAUUACUAAAGUAGUUUUGAAGGAGAUUACAGGGGGUCCCCAGGUUAGGAAUGGGUGCCAUUCCUGACGACAUUCUUAGUCGGAUUGCAUGCUAGGAGCAUACCGUACUUACAGAACAAUGUUUAAAAUCCCACUAUAUCAUAGCCUAAGUCCUUAUAUACAUCUGAAAUCAUUUAAUUUAAGACAAAAAAGAAAUAGAUUGACAAUACAGUAAAUGAAAGUAAAACAUGUCAUCUGAUGAAAUAUUGUAAAUUUCAAGUUUAACACUGUUCAUAUCGGGCGUUUAUAAGUCGGGGACUCCCUGUACUUUGUACAAGUUUUAAUUUUUACAUAGUAACAAUGCAGUACUUUAUCUCAAGUAAUAUUUUCAUAUACUUUCUCCCCCACUGGCUAAAAUGGACCUGAAUUGAGCUGGACCUGAAUUGAGCUGGACCUGCAGUGAACUAGACCUGAAGUUAACUGGACCGUAAUUACUAUCUGCUCCUCAGAUCAGCCAUCACACCAGACCAGGACCUGUACGAGAGAAGGAACACUGUGGUCUACCUUACAGUAUGUUAUUGAGUUAGUUACUCUACAGUAGAAGUAAGUGACCACACCAGUACUUAACAGAUUAUUUAACUAUGUUGAGUUUUGGUGUUGCUGUGUUAUUUGAACCUUUCUAUAGAUUUGUAAACUGACUAAUGACUUUAGACGGUGUUUAAGAUUAGGUUUCUAACAGUUAAAACUGUGGUUAAGUUGUGUGGAAGUGAGACAAUGACUUAGCACUAUGCUGAAAGUGUUUAAAAGUGAGAAAGUGACUUUUAGUGAAGUUUGUAGAAGUAAGGAUAUUAGUUAAAAAAAAUUGUGUAUGGGAGAAAAUGACUAAUUAACUUCAUGAGAUUUAGAGUAUAGUUUAAUUUUUAUACAAGAAGUUGGAGGUUCAAUACUGUAGGCUUAAUACUUUUUAGGGAUUAAAAUUCUUGCUUUUCCGUGGAUCAUUUACAGUGAAAGGUACAGUACAGAGUGAGAGAAGGCUGGUUGUAUAUUAAAGUUGAGAGAGGAAAGGCUGUACUGUACUAAGUUAAUGGAUAGGGAAGACUGCCGGACAUUUGACUGAUGAGUAUUACAGUAAAGGAGGGAAAGCUGUUGAGUGUAUGACUUAAGAUAAUACAGUACUGAAGUUGUAUGAGCAAGAGAAAAGGCUGGUGAUGUGAAUUAAAACUGUGCUGAAAUAAUGUAUAAUUGAGAGAAACUUGACUAGAAUGUAAGAUUUACUGUACUGAAGCAGAUAAAGAGUGAGGGAGGACUGUAGACUAGACUGAAGUUUUAUACAAGUGAAGGAGGGAUUUGUAUUACUUAAUCUGCACUGGAUUUCUUUCUUUCUUUCGUUUCUUCCACAUCCUAGGUUAGGUUUUAUUUCAUCAGAGCCAACCAUAAAGAGAGUCAUCUAUUAACUGCAGCUGACCCCAACAUGAAGGACAUUUCAUCUAUCAACUGGAAUCAACUGCAUCUGAACCCCUUUCCCCUACCCCUUUAGAGCGGGGGUCAGAAGUCUCUUCUGGGAAGUACCUUACUCUCGGAGCAUUAUAACUCUGGGUUUAUGGCUCGGACAUUUCUGUAUCUGGGAUAAGGAGCUUCCUGGAGGAGGCGACUGGCCCUAGGAGCAGCAAUUGCUGUAUCUAGGUGUCAGCGUUAGGCUGCUUAGGUUCCCUUUUUUUUUU